rnacentral:rRNA from 1 species
GAUGAACGCUAGCGAUAGGCCUAACACAUGCAAGUCGAGGGGCAUCACAUGAAGUAGCAAUACGGAUGGUGGCGACCGGCGCACGGGUGAGUAACACGUAUGCAACCUGCCUUCAACAAGGGGAUAACCCGUUGAAAGACGGACUAAUACCCUAUAACACAGGGGUCCCGCAUGGGAAUAUUUGUUAAAGGACAACCGGUUGAAGAUGGGCAUGCGUUCCAUUAGCUAGUUGGCGGGGUAACGGCCCACCAAGGCAACGAUGGAUAGGGGAACUGAGAGGUUUAUCCCCCACACUGGUACUGAGACACGGACCAGACUCCUACGGGAGGCAGCAGUGAGGAAUAUUGGUCAAUGGACGCAAGUCUGAACCAGCCACGUCGCGUGAAGGAAGACGGCCCUACGGGUUGUAAACUUCUUUUAUACGGGAAUAAAUGCCCCACGCGUGGGGUUUUGCAUGUACCGUAUGAAUAAGGAUCGGCU